rfam:Papio anubis isolate 1X1155 chromosome 9, whole genome shotgun sequence.
GUCAGUAGUCCUGGCGACUCAGGAGGCUGAGGCGAGAAGAUCACUUGAGUCCAGGAGUUCUGGGCUGUAGUGAGCUAUGCCAACUGGGUGUGUCCACACUAAGUUCAGCAUCAAUAUGAUGACCUCCCAGGAGCAGGGAACCACUGGGUUGACUAAGGAGGAGUGAUCCAGCACAGGUCAGAAAUGGAACAGUUCAAAACUCCUGUGCUGAUCAGCAGUGGGAUCUCACCUGUGAAUAGCCUCCAGUCUGGGCAACAUAACAAGACUGUCUCUU